rnacentral:rRNA from 1 species
UACGUAGGGUGCGAGCGUUAUUCGGAAUUACUGGGCGUAAAGCGCGCGUAGGCGGCGCGUUAAGACGGGUGUGAAAGCCCCGAGCUUAACUUGGGAAUUGCGCUUGUGACUGGCGUGCUGGAGUGUGGCAGAGGGAGGUGGAAUUCCACGUGUAGCAGUGGAAUGCGUAGAGAUGUGGAGGAACACCGAUGGCGAAGGCGGGUCUCUGGGCAACAACUGACGCUGAGGAGCGAAAGCGUGGGGAGCGAACAGG